UAGUCUAGUGGUUAAGGCUAUGGAUCGCCAAUCCGCAGACGGCGGGUUCGAUUCCCGU
rnacentral:tRNA from 1 species